rnacentral:rRNA from 1 species
AACGAACGCUGGCGGCAGGCCUAACACAUGCAGUCGAGCGAAGCCUUCGGGCUUAGCGGCGGACGGGUGAGUAACGCGUGGGAACGUGCCCUUUGGUACGGAAUAGCCCCGGGAAACUGGGAGUAAUACCGUAUGUGGUCGAGAGACGAAAGAUUUAUCGCCAAAGGAUCGGCCCGCGUUGGAUUAGGUAGUUGGUGGGGUAAUGGCCUACCAAGCCGACGAUCCAUAGCUGGUUUGAGAGGAUGAUCAGCCACACUGGGACUGAGACACGGCCCAGGCUCCUACGGGAGGCAGCAGUGGGGAAUCUUAGACAAUGGGGGAAACCCUGAUCUAGCCAUGCCGCGUGAUCGAUGAAGGCCUUAGGGUUGUAAAGAUCUUUCAGUGGGGAAGAUAAUGACUGUACCCACAGAAGAAGCCCCGGCUAACUCCGUGCCAGCCGCCGCGGUAA